GACGAACGCUGGCGGCGUGCCUAAUACAUGCAAGUUGAGCGCUGAAGGUUGGUACUUGUACCGACUGGAUGAGCAGCGAACGGGUGAGUAACGCGUGGGGAAUCUGCCUUUGAGCGGGGGACAACAUUUGGAAACGAAUGCUAAUACCGCAUAAAAACUUUAAACACAAGUCUUAAGUUUGAAAGAUGCAAUUGCAUCACUCAAAGAUGAUCCCGCGUUGUAUUAGCUAGUUGGUGAGGUAAAGGCUCACCAAGGCGAUGAUACAUAGCCGACCUGAGAGGGUGAUCGGCCACAUUGGGACUGAGACACGGCCCAAACUCCUACGGGAGGCAGCAGUAGGGAAUCUUCGGCAAUGGACGAAAGUCUGACCGAGCAACGCCGCGUGAGUGAAGAAGGUUUUCGGAUCGUAAAACUCUGUUGGUAGAGAAGAACGUUGGUGGGAGUGGAAAGCUCAUCAAGUGACGGUAACUACCCAGAAAGGGACGGCUAACUACGUG
rnacentral:rRNA from 1 species